CCUACGGGAGGCAGCAGUGGGGAAUUUUGGACAAUGGGCGCAAGCCUGAUCCAGCAAUGCCGCGUGAGUGAAGAAGGCCUUCGGGUUGUAAAGCUCUUUUGUCAGGGAAGAAACGGUGGGGGCUAAUAUCCUCCACUAAUGACGGUACCUGAAGAAUAAGCACCGGCUAACUACGUGCCAGCAGCCGCGGUAAUACGUAGGGUGCAAGCGUUAAUCGGAAUUACUGGGCGUAAAGCGUGCGCAGGCGGUUUUGUAAGUUUGUCGUGAAAUCCCCGGGCUCAACCUGGGAAUGGCGAUGAAGACUGCAAGGCUAGAAUCUGGCAGAGGGGGGUAGAAUUCCACGUGUAGCAGUGAAAUGCGUAGAGAUGUGGAGGAACACCGAUGGCGAAGGCAGCCCCCUGGGUCAAGAUUGACGCUCAUGCACGAAAGCGUGGGGAGCAAACAGGAUUAGAUACCCUGGUAGUCCACGCCCUAAAACGAUGUCUACUAGUUGUCGGGUUUUAAUUAACUUGGUAACGCAGCUAACGCGUGAAGUAGACCGCCUGGGGAGUACGGUCGCAAGAUUAAAACUCAAAUGAAUUGACG
rnacentral:rRNA from 1 species